rnacentral:rRNA from 1 species
UACGUAGGGUGCAAGCGUUAAUCGGAAUUACUGGGCGUAAAGCGUGCGCAGGCGGUUCGCUAAGACAGACGUGAAAUCCCCGGGCUUAACCUGGGAACUGCAUUUGUGACUGCAUCGCUGGAGUGCGGCAGAGGGGGAUGGAAUUCCGCGUGUAGCAGUGAAAUGCGUAGAUAUGCGGAGGAACACCGAUGGCGAAGGCAAUCCCCUGGGCCUGCACUGACGCUCAUGCACGAAAGCGUGGGGAGCAAACAGG